rnacentral:rRNA from 1 species
UUAGGAAUUUUGGGCAAUGGGCGCAAGCCUGACCCAGCAACGCCGCGUGGGUGACGAAGGCCUUCGGGUUGUAAAGCCCUUUUCUGAGGGAAGAUGAUGACGGUACCUCAGGAAGAAGCACCGGCUAACUACGUGCCAGCAGCCGCGGUAAUACGUAGGGUGCGAGCGUUGCCCGGAUUUAUUGGGCGUAAAGGGCGCGCAGGCGGCUACGCACGUCCGUUGUGAAAUCGCUCGGCUCAACUGGGCGGGGUCAGCGGAUACGGCGUGGCUUGAGCAAGCUAGGGGGCAAUGGAAUUCCCGGUGUAGUGGUGGAAUGCGUAGAUAUCGGGAGGAACACCAGUGGCGAAGGCGGUUGCCUGGAGCUUUGCUGACGCUGAGGCGCGAAAGCGUGGGGAGCGAUCCGG